GGCAGAUUACCUACAACACCAAAGUGGAGGCUUUGAUAAACCUGCAUUACAUAUUUUGGUGUUGUAGGGAUUUGCGGACACUGUUCAUUGUAGUCCAAAAUUUAAAAUUCAAAAUAUAGUUGUUAGGAAUAUAGUUGUUGGAGCAUUAUCUCUUUAUUAUCUUCUCGUACCUUUUGUAUUUAUAGUUAUGGUUAUAAAUAGUUUUUUUUGGUACACAUAAAUGAAUUAAGGAUAAUUAUUCUUUUUUCUUCUAUAUUUCUCUCUCUCUUUCUCUUGUUCUUCAUCAUUCGGUCAAGUUAUUCUCUAAUUCUCUAAUUCUCUAAUUCUCUCUCUCUCUCCCCUACAGUCCAUCACGGCUUAAUCUUAUUUCAUUAAUUUAGUUAAAGGAUCAAUGAAUUACAAAUAAUGAAAUCUUCCCUUUACAAGGUGAUGGUGUGUAUAGAGUUAUAGGCUUAGGAUAAUAUCUCAUAAAGAAACUUCGUCACAUACUUAAGAUUUAGUUGGGUUUGAUAAUCUAAAGUUGAGUCUCUUGUCACUUGCCAUGAUAUUCAUGUAAGUGGUUUGCGGACUUAUAAAUUCUAGGCUAGAAAGUGUCGGAUGUACUUUUACCAAUUUAUUUAUUUGUCAGCAAAGUCUAAAUUGCUUAAAUUUUGUUUAUUGGGUAAUUCUUUUAAAUAUCUAUUUUUAAGUUUUUGUCACAAAAAUAGUCCUAAAGAAACAAAAUGACUAAAAUAGCCCUUUUUAUUUUGAAAAUUUUAAUAUUUAUUUUUAAAAAUUUGAAACCUUAUCCCCAAAACCUUACUCGUUAACUCUAAAUCCUAACUCUAGAUUAGUUAACCCUAAGAUAAAAAUACAUUUUUACCUUUUAAUAAAACUUAGUUUGAUCAUUUUCUUCAUUGAAAGAUAUUUUGUGACAAAAACUUAAAAAUAACUAUUCUAGGGAAUUUCUCUUGUUUUUUUGUUCAACUAUUGCUUAUUUUUUUGCAGAAUAUGCUUUUAAGACACAUUUCCACUUUCGAUUUACGCAAUCAGACACAUGUUGCCGGUGACACACUUUUGUGUAAUGAUUGUAACUUAGACUCCCAACUUUGUUUCUCCCCAACAUCCAUUCUUUCGUAACUAAACCUUUCCUAACUAAAACAACAAUCUGUCCAAUUGGACACACAUCUCAAUUAAAAAUAGUAAAAUACAAUUCAUUCUUUAUCUCUCAUAUUUCGAAUUUUGAGACAAAAAAUUGAAAUCACUUUCAUAGUUUCUCGAACCCUAAUUGAGACGACCUCUACCCGCGAACCUCGUUCAACUUCGAGAAACCAUGGCGAAAUUGAAGUCGAAGAAGAAAGGGAAGCUCAAUAGUUAACCUUCUUCACCGCAGAUCGACAUCGGAGGUUUGUAUUUCGAAUUCCUUAACUCUUUUUGAAUUUCAAGAGUUCUCGAAAUCCCUUACUUUUUUCUAUUUUUCUUUCUUUUUUUUUAAAUAUUAUUUAUGUUGUAAUUUUCCAAUUGAAUCGAAUCUUUGAGAUUUUUUGGACGGGAGAUAUGACGAGCAGAUCCGAGAGCUCUGGUUGGGAGAGAACGACGCGGCUGCGAGCAGGUCCGAACUCCGUUGUGGAGAGGACGAUGGGACUGCGAGCAGGUCCGAGCUCCGGUGUGGAGAGGACGCGACGACGAGCAGGUCCGACCUCCGUUGUGGAAAAGACGACGACGAGCUCUCGUGGUGUGAAGAAUCUGAGAUUAAAAAGUUGAACACUUCUUCUACGUAUUAGAGAUCUAAGAAGCAAAAGGUUAGAAACUUUACAUACGGGUUUAUAGAUUUAAGCUUAGAUCUAUCUCCUUUUCCUCGGCGGAAGAAAUAAAAGGUUGCAAACGGAAGAUGAAUUUUUGGGCCAAACUUGACAUGACCACAGCAAGAAUCCAAGGAUGAUGCAGCAUGAUAUUUUGACUAUUGACCACAUUAAGAGUCUAUGAUGUAGUCCACAACAACAAUGUCGUAAACAUCAAUCUUGCUCCCACCCAUCAAGAGUCCACGAUUGAUGCACCUCAACACCUUUCCAGACUCCAAAGCGUGGUCUAUUUACUUUCAUUAUAGAUCUAACUUGGUGAAAGUAUGGAUGUUAACGUUUUAGUGUCGAUGUUCAGCUUUGAUGUCCAUGUCCACGCAUAGUUUAUAACUCUAUUACCUACAUUGUAAUGUCCAUAUCCAUUUUUUUUUUGUCAUAUGUCCAUAUCCAUUUUUUUCGUAUAGAUUUUAAUAUAUAUAUGAUAAUGAAUGUUAAGAGAUAAAUUAUUUUAUAUAUAAUUUAAUUUGAUUAUUA